CUUCAAAGUGCUGGGGGCGGACAGUGGCUGGCUGUGGAACAGCAGCCUCAUCCAGGGCUCUUUGAAGUCAUCAGCAAGGCUCCUACUGCUUUCAGGUGUCUCUGGAUCCAGCCCUGAAGGCGCAGCCAAGAGUUCAGGAAUGAUGAAGAUUUUUCUACUUUACCAAAUAGGUGCAAAUUGCUUUAUACUAAUCCUCACUGCAUUUCCUACUCAGCCUGCCUGGAAGAUGAGGGUACGCCUUGCUGAGUAAGACCUUUCUUGAAUAAGGCAGCUGCUACCUGAUUCACUGGGCUAGGAGCAGGGGAAGAAAACCAAAGAAGCAAACAAA